rnacentral:lncRNA from 1 species
UAAGUUUAAGUGAAUUUACAACAUUGGGAUAUGAUCGGUUCUGUGUGUUUGAAGUGUCAUGUUUGCCUUACAUUUAGAACUCAACCAGGUUCAUUCAUAUGUAGGGCAAGUGGGAACCACCGCUGUAGUUUUUGAAUAUAGAAGCAUGUGUGUAAAGAAAGUUGUGAGGAGUUUCUAGGCUCGAAGACAACAAAAGAAAUGAACAAAGCUUAUCUUAUGAAUUCGCAGCCCUGAUAAUUUGCAUGGCAGAUUGCACUCAGAGGAUUUGUGGGGCAUAUCAUUUGGAUUUAUGCUACAUACCCUCUGGAAAGUCAAGUAAGAAAUUACAUAUAUAUGAUUUUUUUUCCUGCAAAGCCCAUUCCCCCAUCUAGCAUGGCAUUCAUGGUCAGACAUACAACAUCUCUAGCUAUUCAAGCUAAAACUUUUUGAGCACUCCCCUGCUGCGUAAUGACAUUGAGUUUGGAAACCUUCUCAUGUAGGAUAGGCUAAGGUUUAGUGUGAUUGAAUCCUGAAAACCAAAAACUAGAAGAAGCUAGAAAAGAAAGAAUAUAGCAACUAUUACAAGCACAAGCCAUUUCCAAGGUUACAAAAGCAACACAUAGUUGUGAUAUACAUAUUGCAACAAGAAUUUUCCCUUGUUCAGAUAUGCAGCCUGUGCCAAAUCUCCCUCAUUCCUUUCCUUUCUUUUCCAUUGUACAUCCAGCAUUAUACAAACACAGGCCUUUUUAGGUAAUUAUAUAUUUUCCUUUAGAGUACAUUGAAGUACAUACAAGUAUAUGUUAUAUUCUAUGCCAUAACAAGCUACCAAAUUUCAAAAUUGACUCUCCAGCUCUGCUUAUCUUGCUCUGGAAAGCUGUAUGGCUUCUUGAUCAAGAGUAGAUUCAUCAUUCCAAACAAAUUGGUGAGUCAUGAGUGAGAAUUCUUGAUUCCUAGCCUCUUCAAGUUGCUGCCAGUCAGCCCAUCUAUCUGCCAACCCAACUCCCUGCAGCAUUUUUACCACCUCUGACAUGGUUGGACGAUCCUCGGGAUAGCCUUGGGUGCAAAGCAACGCAACCUGAAGAAUCGUCUCAACUUCCUUUGGAUCAUAACUCUCCAAAUUUCUAUCCACAAUGUCCUCCAACCGUUUCUCUCUCAGCAGCUUUUUCACCUGUGUAUAGAAGCUUCAUCAGUAUAAUAUAUCACCACAUCUUAAAAAGUAAAUGAUCACAAAAGCUCUAAGGACCAAUUAAAUAGUAAAUGGUGAAAAUAUAUAGUAUGAGUUUAAUUUGGAUGCACUAUGAGUGUAAAGUUAUUUACGUUGUAGAAUUCAUCUCAGAUAUGGUUUUGAAGUUAUUAUAAAAGUCAACAAACAUACUAUAAAUGACAAUACAUGAUUAGAUGAUAAUAUAAAAUUUUUACAUGGUUAGCACAUUCUAAUUUAAUUCAUAUAUUAUUUGCAAGUCUAGAGGCAAGAAAGGAUAGAGCAUUGGAACAAGCCCAUAACAGCAUCCACAACAAUACAAUAACACAUUUUUGUAUCACCAGUAAGCAGCAUUUAUAUGACGUGAUCAAGGAAAU